AAUAAACGCUGGCGGCGUGCCUAACACAUGCAAGUCGAGCGAGAAAGUUCCUUCGGGAAUGAGUACAGCGGCGGACGGGUGAGUAACGCGUGAGAAUCUGCCCUUCAGUGAAGAAUACCGCCGAGAAAUCGGUGUUAAUGCUGCAUACGUCCCUUCGGGGAGAAAAGUGGCCUCUUUGCUACUGCUGAAGGAUGAGCUUGCGUACUAUUAGCUAGUUGGUAGGGUAAAUGCCUACCAAGGCGAUGAUGGUUAACCGGCCUAAGAGGGUGUUCGGUCACACUGGAACUGAGAUACGGUCCAGACUCCUACGGGUGCAG
rnacentral:rRNA from 1 species